CGGGACGUGGCGCAGCUUGGUAGCGCACUUGACUGGGGGUCAAGGGGUCGUCGGUUCGAAUCCGGCCGUCCCGAC
rnacentral:tRNA from 14 species